rnacentral:rRNA from 1 species
CCCUUAGAUGUCCGGGGCCGCACGCGCGCUACACUGAAGGAAUCAGCGUGGCUUUCUCCCUGACCCGAAAGGGUUGGGAAACCCGUUGAAUCUCCUUCGUGAUAGGGAUUGGGGCUUGAAAUUGUUCCCCAUGAACGAGGAAUUCCCAGUAAGCGCGAGUCAUACGCUCGCGUUGAUUACGUCCCUGCCCUUUGUACACACCGCCCGUCGCUACUACCGAUUGAACGGUUUAGUGAGGGCCUCGGAUUGGUCUCGGCCCGCUCUUUACCGGGCGGCGCCGUUGGUCGAGAAGACGCUCGAACUUGAUCGUUUAGAGGAAGUAAAAGUCGUAACA